rnacentral:lncRNA from 1 species
GUCAUUGAAGUACAACAUAAGAUGGUCCGAUCCUCUAUUAAUCAAUAAAUGAAUUCAUCUUAACUUUCCUUACUUGCUUAUUACGUGAAAUACUUCAAUUAUUUAAUGAUUCAAUUGUAUGGUAUAAAAUGUUUAGAUAUAUGGAGGUUGUAUGAAAUACUCUAUUUUAAAUGACGUGGUGGUUGUAGGUGUUUUUUCUAUGAUUUUGUCUGCAGGAAAUUUAUAUGUUGCAGAUCAUUGGAAUGCCUUUGAAUUAAGUAUGGAUUUUCAGAAAUCAUAUACUCAAAUUUAAGUUCAUUCUACAAUCAUAUAUUUCUACAAUAUAUUUUUUGAACUACAUACUAGUAAUCCAUGUGCAUGGUUUGUUUGUUUGUUUGUUUUUGCAGAUCACUAUCUUAUAGAAUACUAUAUCUCAAUGGAUUGUUAUCAUUUCCUUUUCUUUUGGUUUUGUUUUUUGAGGAGAAUAUUGGUGUAUUUGGUAUGAUGGGUAGGUUUUUCCCGGAGAAAAAUGGGAAAGACCACACACAUUCAAAAGAUGCCAAAAGAGCACACUCGGGCUUUUUCAUCUAUCCAUCAUCCUAUAUUCAUAACAAGAUGGGAGUAACAAGAUGAUUCUUUGUGACUACUUUAUAAGUUCGAGAAUUCUACACAAAUCAAGAUUCUGCACUCAAAGAUUUAGUUUCAGAAUGCUAGAUUUGAAGGGGAAUAUUAGAUAAAUAAUACAUAUAAGUAAUUAUAUGUUAUUAUAGGGAUAUAUUGUAAAACUAACCAAACUAAUAGGUUGGUUAAGAUAGAAUAAAUAUAAAUAUGUUAAGUAUCGUAUAAUUGAAAAUGGUUG